GGAUAUUUAAGUCAUGAGGACCAAGCCCUUACAAACAAAAUUAGUACCUUUUUAAGAGACCUGAAAGACCUCCCCUGCCCCUUUUGCUGUGGAUGGACACAGAAAGAAGAUGGCCAUUUCAAACCAGGAAAUGGAGUCCUCAUUGAUACCAGAUCUUCUGGUGCCUUGAUCUUGAACCACUUAGCUUCUAGAACUGUGAGAAGUAAAAUUUGUUUUUUAAACCACUAAGUCUAUAGUUUUUUUUAUUAUAGCAGUGAAAAUGAACUAAGAUAAAUUGGUACCAAGAAGUGGGGUAUUCCUAUAAUAAAUACCUAAAAAUGUGGAAGUGCCUUGUAAGUGGGUAAUGAGGAGAGCCUGGAAGAAUUUGGAGAUUCAUGCUAGUAAAAGUCUACACUGGGACUUGGGAUAUAGCUCAGUGUUACAGUGCUUGCUUAUUAUGUACAAUGCAGGAAAUAGUAGGGAUGGGGGAAGGAGGGAGAGAGAGAGAAAGAGAAAGAGAACACGGACAGACAUACAUGGAAGGAGGGAAGAGGAGGAGGGAGAAAGAGCCUACAGCCUAUAUUCUCAUAAAUAGAUCUUUAAAGUUUCUGGUGAGGGUUUGGAAUGAAACGAAGAGAGCAGUAGAGAAAGCCUCAAUCUUUUUUUUUUUUUUAACUUAUUUAUUCUACUUGGUUAUACAUGACAGCAGAAUACAUUUUUAAUUCAUAGUACAGCUAUAGAGCACAGUUUUUCAUGUCUCUGGUUGUAUACAAAGUAGAGUCA
rnacentral:lncRNA from 1 species